ensembl:lncRNA
GCGCACAAAAUUUGCUGAUUUUAUUCUUGCUUUUCAAAGUUGACCAAAAACAGAAUCCUGUGUUCAAAAAACUACACGGUCACUAUAGCAGGAUACAAAUACAAAACCUACAAAAUGCAACAAUUACAAACAUUUUGUUCGACAUUUUUACAGUAUAAAUGUAUACAAUACUGUUUUUGUUUAUUUGGCACUUGACCACAUGAUGCAAUUGUUUUUGUUUAACAGAAAUGUUACAGCUGACAGCUUAAAAAAUAUAAUAGAAAUACAAUAAAAUAGAAUGUGACAUUAUCACUGCAGUAGUUGUGAUCCUCAGUUUUCAAUGUACUUCUUUCUUUACAAAACAGCAGUUAUUUUCAAGAAACAUUUAAACAUUUGUCCAAUGAAAAGUAAGGUAACUGACACCACUGCUUUAGGCCCCAGGAUGAGCCUCAGAUACAUUCAAUUAACAGAAGAUGGAAGGGUUGUUCAAUGGGUUCCAGACUGAGCAACUCUUAAAACCGACGCAGUAGAACUGACAGCCGGGUUGAAGACUAGAGUGGAGGUCUGUGAGCUCAAAGGAUGUAACAUUUGAUACAUGCCCAUCCAGGAGUGCUCACUCUGUGUGUGUGUGUUGUCCUGUGGUGUAUGAUCAGUACUUGAGCUCAUAGCUGCUGUCUCUUAAUGAAGCUUUGUCUUUUUUUAAUAUUUUCUUUUUAAGAAACUCUACAAAUGUUGGUUACCCAUAAUCACAAACCGACAUAGGCAAUGUUUUGGGGAGGCUGGGCUUAGGGUAGUCAAACACUAACGACCAGAAACACACAUGCUCAGCGUCACAUGCAUACAUGUACGUGCUCAUAAACAAACCCCUCCUUUGAAAAAUUAUUUCAACUUGUUUAACAUGCGCCAUUUAAAACAUCUAAAAUGUAAUGUGAAAUUGUUUCUCGUUCUCCACGACAGUUAACGAGAACUAAAACAGAUCUGCAUGCUUCAGUUUAAACAACUUCUAUGGAAACGCAUCACAUAACAUUUGUUCGGUUGUGCAAUGCGCUGUUCUGGUUCUCGGCCCAGGUGGUUUCUGGAGCACUGCUUGAACAUUGGAAGUACACAGAAAGGAGUAACAUUUCCAUUUUAUACUUUUAGGUGUAAUCUCGUUUAACUCGCUGACCCCAUAAGUCUGGGAUCAGACAUCCUCAGGGCAAUGUUCGGGCAUAAUUCCUAUUUGAAUUUAAAAUGCAACUAACUGUUUACAAAAGUGUUUUUUUUUUUUGUGCACAAAAAAGAAACAUGUCCAGAAGACAGUUACUAUUCAUAACAACUAAUGAUAUGGAGGAAGUGAAGACGAGAGAUAUUGGCACUAAGGGCCAGGUCUUAACUAGUGCCCUAUCUAGGCCCUAGGUGUCAUUUGGUAAACAUACACAGGGACAGUCCUCUUCCUUUGCUCUAGAGGUAUUUUAAACUGUUACCAAGGGCCUUUAAUAUGCAUAGCACUACACAGAGACCCCGUUUUUAACUAGAGUCUGAAAAUACCAGCACAAAUAUGAACCAAAAACAUUAAAACAAAUAAAUGUGUCAAGCUUGCAAAAACACAACACAUACAUACACAUUCUCACAGUAAAAAAAAAAAAAAAAAAAGAUCUAAAACAAUUAUCUUUCCACUGACGGGACAAGAAUUACAACCUCCUUUCCUGUAGUUUCUGUCAUCUCAAUUACCUUCACAAACACACUCCUCACUGUCUGGCUCCCGCUGUCCCUCUCGCUCAUGCACUGUUUACGAUACACAAAAUAGCUAGGAGGACUUAGUUGAGGACCACGGUUUUGUCCAGUCCGGAGCAUUGAGAACACUAAGAACCAAGGAGAACCAAUCAGGGAGACUCUAGUUUGCAUUCAAAUACAUAUCAGGUUAAAAAGCCUUUUCCCUGUGGAAUACAAUAGUUAGGACUAAGGACCAUAUGGUGGUUAACAGAAGGACACUGUAUAGGGAAUAGGCUGCUAGUUGGGACAUCUACUAGGACUUGUAAAAUACCUGGACCACUCAAAGACUGUUAAAACACACAGGCAGUGGACCACAUCAGAACUGGAAUCAUUGGAACCUGUAGGUAGGUUGUUGGUUGUCUGCCGGGGGCAGAGUUAGAGAGGAGGGAGGAGUCUGUAGAACAUGACUGGCUCUCAUUGGCCCGCUGUCGUAAGUGUCAUUUGAAGCCGUUGCUUGUCUUCAUCAGAUUGCUCCAAGGUGGAAGGGGAGGGGCUAUUUGGAUUCACCCAAACAAGCACUGGAAAGGGAAUAAAAGAAAAAACCUGGUCAGAUCAGCGAUUCAAACAAAAUGA